rnacentral:piRNA from 1 species
UAAGCUUGCCAAAGCUCUGGUGUCUCCUU